rnacentral:rRNA from 1 species
GUUGGUGGUUAUAGCGAGGGGGACACACCUCUUCCCAUUCCGAACAGAGUCGUUAAGCCCCUCAGCGCCGAUGGUACUGCGUCACCAUGCGUGGGAGAGUAGGUCGCCGCCAGCC